GACGAACGCUGGCGGCGUGCUUAACACAUGCAAGUCGAACGGAAAGGCCCUGCUUUUGUUGGGUGCUCGAGUGGCGAACGGGUGAGUAACACGUGAGUAACCUGUCCUUGACUUUGGGAUAACUUCAGGAAACUGGGGCUAAUACCGGAUAGGAGCUCCUGCUGCAUGGUGGGGGUUGGAAAGUUUCGGCGGUUGGGGAUGGACUCGCGGCUUAUCAGCUUGUUGGUGGGGUAGUGGCUUACCAAGGCUUUGACGGGUAGCCGGCCUGAGAGGGUGACCGGCCACAUUGGGACUGAGAUACGGCCCAGACUCCUACGGGAGGCAGCAGUGGGGAAUAUUGCACAAUGGGCGGAAGCCUGAUGCAGCAACGCCGCGUGCGGGAUGACGGCCUUCGGGUUGUAAACCGCUUUCGCCUGUGACGAAGCGUGAGUGACGGUAAUGGGUAAAGAAGCACCGGCUAACUACGUG
rnacentral:rRNA from 1 species